CCAUGAAGCUGGAUUCGCUAGUAAUCGCGCAUCAGCCACGGCGCCGGUGAAUACGUUCCCGGGCCUUGUACACACCGCCCGUCAAGCCAUGGAAGCCGGGGGGUGCCUGAAGUGCGCUGCCGCAAGGAGCGCCCUAGGGUAAAACCGGUGACUGGGGCUAAGUCGUAACAAGGUAAC
rnacentral:rRNA from 1 species